GCCAUGGUGGCUGAGUCCGGCUUAAAGCAUUCGCUUGGAGAGCGGAAGUACGGAAGUACCAGAGGUUCAAAUCCUCUCCAUGGCG
rnacentral:tRNA from 1 species